UGGGCUGUGCUGGGCUUCCCUCCAUGCUGGGGGGCAACCAGGUGCUCAGACCUCAUGGAUGGGUCACUGAGGAAGGGCUGUGGGCGUCCCCAGCUGAGAGAAGUCAGCUCUGCAGAACACUCGGUUUGAUUGUGGUUUCCCUGGCACCCUCAGGGAGGGAUCUGGGCUGUGAGCUCCUGAGCUAUGUGGUGCUCCCAGGGACAGAUCUCAGCAGUGGGGUGGUUCCAAGGACAACCUUAUCGUUUUAGUCUACCACAGCUCUCCCGUUCGGCCCUGGGCAAGGUGGCCACCAGGCUCCCACAGCCAAAACAAUAAGCAGAGACCAAAAGGAAGCAGAGACCUGGCUUUAAUAUCACAUAAGGACGGAUGGCAAAACUUUCCUAAAGACAUAUGUUGUGGAAAAAGGAAAACCCCUCAAAGGUGCCUCCUGCUCAGAGCAGGAUAUGGAGUAAUACAUUCACCCUUCUUUGCAUUCCCUGUCUCCUGAAGGCCACAUUCAUCCACUUCCCCUUUUCUGGAGAGGAUGUCAGCUUAAGAGAAACUCCUGCAUGGAAGGGUAAGGUGACUCGAUAAGGGAGGAGAAGGAUCACGUGGUGGUAUUAACAUCACUACACACUCACCAAAGG